AGAGUGAAAUAAAGCUUGGUUUUGCCUGUGCUGAUUGAUAAAACGACACAUCACCUUAAUAAAGACGGAAAUCUUUAAUAAGAGUGAAACAGAACUUCGGUUUUGCCUUUGCUGGAUACAGAUCUGGUCGUCGCAAGUCUGAGUGAACAGAUCUUUGGCUUUGCCUUUGCUGGUGACCUGCUGCAGAAGAUCCUCUCUCUCUAUCAUUAUAAGCAAUUCUGUCUAUCCUAUCACUCUCCCAACUCUAUCUAAUUUGACAGCCAUUCCAUCUUGUAUCCCUCUAUCUCUACUGCUCUAUCUAAUUUGACAGCCAUUCCAUCUUGUAUCCCUCUAUCUCUACUGCUCUAUCUAAUUUGACAGCCAUUCCAUCUUGUAUCCCUCUAUCUCUACUGCUCUAUCUAAUUUGACAGCCAUUCCAUCUUGUAUCCCUCUAUCUCUACUGCUCUAUCUAAUUUGAGAAUCCAAGUUUUCAGAAAUCCAAGUUACCAGUACUUGCUCUAUACAGAAUUCUGAGAGAUCUCUGCUCUCACUGCUCCUUCUUUCCUGUCAUUAAGCUCUCUCACAUUCAGUCAUUUUGCUGGAAAUUACAAGUUGAAUAUACGGUAGUAGAAUUACAGUACAGUAGAACUUAUAGUAGAAACUACUUACACAGCCCUACAUUUGUCAUUUUAAUUUUGCAUUAGACUUUAGUUUGGACUGCUAGUUUGGCUUACUUUGAUCAAUUGUAUAUAAUAUCACCUUUUUAUAAGUUUAUUUGUAAUAAGAUAAUCUGGUUAUUUUGUAAAACAUACAUUCAGAUAAAUAAUAAAUUAGAUCCAGUCUUAGUCUAUUUCAUUGGCUAUAACAUUUGACUGCAAGUUUAUAGUAUUAUUAUUUAAGGACAAACCCAUUUUGUCACUCAGUGUAAGUAUUCAGUUAGUAUUGUCAUCGAGAAGCGCCUGAGGACCCAGACUUCCUGUUUUCUGACUGCUGCAGAACAUCCAGCUGAAGAAUCCUCAUCGCCUGUCAUCUUAUCACCACACCACCAAAGCUCCAUAUAUUUGAUUUAAAUUUUAGAUAUCUGAAAGAUUUACAUAAACUCCCCUAAGAGCUAAGAUUUUUAUUAUAGCCUGUUGAUUGUUGAGAUUUAUUCUGCAUAUCAUUUUACAUAAGUUGUAAUUAUUUACCAGUCUGGUUAAAAAAAAUAUAAGUAAAAUUAUACAGUUUCUAAAAGAGCUACAAUAAAACGGACCAAAUUGUUUCCAGAGAACUUUGAAUUUCCUUUAUUUUGAGUUUGGAGUACAAAUCAGCUUAACGUCUAUUUAUAUAUUCAUAAAAACAUUUUAAAGUAGUAUAAUAGUACAUUUCUCAGAUUUAACAGUAACUUGAGGAGUUUUACGUUUUUCUGUGUUUCAAGGUUGAGUUUUGUUUACAUUUGUGUAUUACCACAUAAGCUCCAGGUUGUACUUCAGCAAAAUGCCAAGAAAAGGUCAAAGGUCACAGUCCCAGAAGCUUAGACGUCAGAAGGAGAAAGAACAGGUGAAUGUUUCUCAGAGCAGUGAGCAGGUAAAGGUGUGUGCUUCAACUUUUCCCAGCACAGAAGUGCAGAGCAGUGUUCAGACAGCCACAGUGUCUUAUGCAGAUGUGGUAAAGAGAGGUGUUCCCUCAGUGUCUGUCCCAGAGCCUGAAGUUAUGCAGG